rnacentral:rRNA from 1 species
UGUUUCGGCUAGGGGGCCAUCCCGGCUUACCAACCCGAUGCAAACUGCGAAUACCGGAGAAUGUUAUCACGGGAGACACACGGCGGGUGCUAACGUCCGUCGUGAAGAGGGAAACAACCCAGACCGCCAGCUAAGGUCCCAAAGUCAUGGUUAAGUGGGAAACGAUGUGGGAAGGCCCAGACAGCCAGGAUGUUGGCUUAGAAGCAGCCAUCAUUUAAAGAAAGCGUAAUAGCUCACUGGUCGAGUCGGCCUGCGCGGAAGAUGUAACGGGGCUAAACCAUGCACCGAAGCUGCGGCAGCGACGCUGAUGCGUUGUUGGGUAGGGGAGCGUUCUGUAAGCCUGCGAAGGUGGCCUGUGAGGGUUGCUGGAGGUAUCAGAAGUGCGAAUGCUGACAUAAGUAACGAUAAAGCGGGUGAAAAGCCCGCUCGCCGGAAGACCAAGGGUUCCUGUCCAACGUUAAUCGGGGCAGGGUGAGUCGACCCCUAAGGCGAGGCCGAAAGGCGUAGUCGAUGGGAAACGGGUUAAUAUUCCCGUACUUGGUGUUACUGCGAAGGGGGGACGGAGAAGGCUAUGUUGGCCGGGCGACGGUUGUCCCGGUUUAAGCGUGUAGGUGUGUGUUCCAGGUAAAUCCGGUUCACUUUAACACUGAGGCGUGAUGACGAGGCACUACGGUGCUGAAGCAACAAAUGCCCUGCUUCCAGGAAAAGCCUCUAAGCAUCAGGUAACAUCAAAUCGUACCCCAAACCGACACAGGUGGUCAGGUAGAGAAUACCAAGGCGCUUGAGAGAACUCGGGUGAAGGAACUAGGCAAAAUGGUGCCGUAACUUCGGGAGAAGGCACGCUGACACGUAGGUGAAGUGAUUUACUCAUGGAGCUGAAGUCAGUCGAAGAUACCAGCUGGCUGCAACUGUUUAUUAAAAACACAGCACUGUGCAAACACGAAAGUGGACGUAUACGGUGUGACGCCUGCCCGGUGCCGGAAGGUUAAUUGAUGGGGUCAGCGCAAGCGAAGCUCCUGAUCGAAGCCCCGGUAAACGGCGGCCGUAACUAUAACGGUCCUAAGGUAGCGAAAUUCCUUGUCGGGUAAGUUCCGACCUGCACGAAUGGCGUAAUGAUGGCCAGGCUGUCUCCACCCGAGACUCAGUGAAAUUGAACUCGCUGUGAAGAUGCAGUGUACCCGCGGCAAGACGGAAAGACCCCGUGAACCUUUACUAUAGCUUGACACUGAACAUUGAGCCUUGAUGUGUAGGAUAGGUGGGAGGCUUUGAAGUGUGGACGCCAGUCUGCAUGGAGCCGACCUUGAAAUACCACCCUUUAAUGUUUGAUGUUCUAACGUGGACCCGUGAUCCGGGUUGCGGACAGUGUCUGGUGGGUAGUUUGACUGGGGCGGUCUCCUCCUAAAGAGUAACGGAGGAGCACGAAGGUUGGCUAAUCCUGGUCGGACAUCAGGAGGUUAGUGCAAUGGCAUAAGCCAGCUUGACUGCGAGCGUGACGGCGCGAGCAGGUGCGAAAGCAGGUCAUAGUGAUCCGGUGGUUCUGAAUGGAAGGGCCAUCGCUCAACGGAUAAAAGGUACUCCGGGGAUAACAGGCUGAUACCGCCCAAGAGUUCAUAUCGACGGCGGUGUUUGGCACCUCGAUGUCGGCUCAUCACAUCCUGGGGCUGAAGUAGGUCCCAAGGGUAUGGCUGUUCGCCAUUUAAAGUGGUACGCGAGCUGGGUUUAGAACGUCGUGAGACAGUUCGGUCCCUAUCUGCCGUGGGCGCUGGAGAACUGAGGGGGGCUGCUCCUAGUACGAGAGGACCGGAGUGGACGCAUCACUGGUGUUCGGGUUGUCAUGCCAAUGGCACUGCCCGGUAGCUAAAUGCGGAAGAGAUAAGUGCUGAAAGCAUCUAAGCACGAAACUUGCCCCGAGAUGAGUUCUCCCUGAGACUUUA